GAUGAACGCUAGCUACAGGCUUAACACAUGCAAGUCGCGGGGCAGCAUGGGGGUUGCUUGCAAUCCCCGAUGGCGACCGGCGCACGGGUGAGUAACGCGUAUCCAACCUGCCCUUCACCACGGGAUAACCCGGCGAAAGUCGGACUAAUACCGUAUGUUGUCCAUUGACGGCAUCCGAUUUGGACUAAAGGUUUGGCGGUGAAGGAUGGGGAUGCGUCCGAUUAGCUGGACGGCGGGGUGACGGCCCACCGUGGCGACGAUCGGUAGGGGUUCUGAGAGGAAGGUCCCCCACACUGGAACUGAGACACGGUCCAGACUCCUACGGGAGGCAGCAGUGAGGAAUAUUGGUCAAUGGGCGUAAGCCUGAACCAGCCAAGUAGCGUGCAGGAGGACGGCCCUAUGGGUUGUAAACUGCUUUUAUGCGGGGAUAAAGUGGCCCACGUGUGGGUUUUUGCAGGUACCGCAUGAAUAAGGACCGGCUAAUUCCGUG
rnacentral:rRNA from 1 species